AAGUACAUAGCUUUAAUUGUGAGGAUCAUAAUAAUGCUGAGCAAUUAACGGAUUUAAGUGUGUCUAACAAUCAAAGAAUUAUCUCUUAUGAACUCAAAUAGAGUACUGAUGUUUGAGAAAUCUUACCAGGGCAAUUGAAAAGAACACAACGAGAGCAACAGAUGAACGCAUCCUGUCUUUGAAGUUUGAACAGCUCAAAAUGAAAC
rnacentral:lncRNA from 1 species